CGUGUAGGCGGCUUCUUAAGUCUGAUGUGAAAGCCCGGGGCUUACCCCCGGAAGGGCAUUGGAAACUGGGAGGCUAGAGUACCGGAGAGGAAGGUGGAAUUCCUGGUGUAGCGGUGAAAUGCAUAGAUAUCAGGAGGAACACCGGUGGCGAAGGCGGCCUUCUGGACGGAUACUGACGCUGAGACGCGAAAGCGUGGGGAGCAAACAGGAUUAGAUACCCUGGUAGUCCACGCCGUAAACGAUGGGCACUAGGUGUUCGGGGUAUUGACCCCCUGAGUGCCGCAGCUAACGCAUUAAGUGCCCCGCCUGGGGACUACGGCCGCAAGGUUAAA
rnacentral:rRNA from 1 species